AGCAGCCGCGGUAAUUCCAGCUCCAAUAGCGUAUAUUAAAGUUGUUGCAGUUAAAAAGCUCGUAGUUGAAUUUCGGGGUUAGUAGGUUGGUCAUGCCUCUGGUAUGUACUGGUCUCACUGAUUCCUCCUUCCUGAUGAACCGUAAUGCCAUUAAUUUGGUGUUGCGGGGAAUUUGGACUGUUACUUUGAAAAAAUUAGAGUGUUUAAAGCAAGCUAACGCUUGAAUACAUUAGCAUGGAAUAAUGAAAUAGGACGUUCGAUCUUAUUUUGUUGGUUUCUAGGAUUGACGUAAUGAUUAAUAGGGAUAGUUGGGGGCAUUAGUAUUCAAUUGUCAGAGGUGAAAUUCUUGGAUUUAUUGAAGACUAACUACUGCGAAAGCAUUUGCCAAGGAUGUUUUCAUUAAUCAAGAACGAAAGUUAGGGGAUCGAAGACGAUCAGAUACCGUCGUAGUCUUAACCAUAAACUAUGCCGACUAGGGAUCGGAUGAUGUUAAUUUUUUAAUGACUC
rnacentral:rRNA from 1 species